rnacentral:rRNA from 1 species
UACGUAGGGUGCAAGCGUUGUCCGGAAUUAUUGGGCGUAAAGAGCUCGUAGGCGGUCUGUCGCGUCGGCUGUGAAAACCCGCGGCUCAACCUCGGGCCUGCAGUCGAUACGGGCAGACUAGAGUGCGGUAGGGGAGACUGGAAUUCCUGGUGUAGCGGUGAAAUGCGCAGAUAUCAGGAGGAACACCGGGGGCGAAGGCGGGUCUCUGGGCCGUAACUGACGCUGAGGAGCGAAAGCGUGGGGAGCGAACAGG